rnacentral:rRNA from 1 species
UACGGAGGGUGCGAGCGUUGUCCGGAAUCAUUGGGCGUAAAGCGCGCGUAGGUGGCCUCAUAAGUCCGCUGUGAAAGUCAAAGGCUCAACCUUUGAAAGCCGGUGGAUACUGUGAGGCUAGAGUACGGAAGAGGCGAGUGGAAUUCCUGGUGUAGCGGUGGAAUGCGCAGAUAUCAGGAGGAACACCAAUAGCGAAGGCAGCUCGCUGGGACGUUACUGACACUGAGGCGCGAAAGCGUGGGGAGCGAACAGG